rnacentral:rRNA from 1 species
AGUGAACGCUGGCGGCAGGCCUAACACAUGCAAGUCGAGCGGCAGCACAGAAAGUGCUCGUGCUUACGGCUGCGGAGGGGCGGACGGUGGAUGAAUACAUGGGAGUCUACUUUGUAGUAGGGGCGAACGCGGGCGAUAUUACGGUAAUACUGCAUACGACGUACGGGGGAGAGCAGGGGACCUUCCGCCAUCGGGUGAGCCUAUGACGCGAUGUCGGAUUAGCUAGUUGGAGGGGUAAAGGCCCACCAAGGCGACGAUCCGUAGCUGGUCUGAGAGGAUGAUCAGUCACACUGGAACUGAGACACGGUCCAGACUCCUACGGGAGGCAGCAGUGGGGAAUAUUGGACAAUGGGCGCAAGCCUGAUCCAGCCAUGCCGCGUGUGUGAAGAAGGUCUUCGGGUUGUAAAGCACUUUUGUUGGGGAGGAAAAGCAGCAGGUUAAUACCCUGCUGUUCUGACGUUACCAAAAGAAUAAGCACCGGCUAACUUCGUG